GAACUCAAAGGAAUUGACGGGGGCCCGCACAAGCGGAGGAGCAUGUGGUUUAAUUCGAUGAUACGCGGGGAACCUUACCUGGGCUCGAACGUAAGAUGACUGUAGGUGAAAGCUUACAUCUCUUCGGAGCAUUUUACGAGGUGCUGCAUGGUUGUCGUCAGCUCGUGCCGUGAGGUGUCGGGUUAAGUCCCAUAACGAGCGCAACCCCUACCUUUAGUUGCCAUCAGGUUAAGCUGGGGACUCUAAAGGAACUGCCUACGCAAGUAGUGAGGAAGGCGGGGAUGACGUCAAAUCAGCACGGCCCUUACGUCCAGGGCUACACACGUGCUACAAUGGCCGAUACAGAGGGCAGCUACCUGGUGACAGGAUGCAAAUCUCCAAAGUCGGUCUCAGUUCGGAUCGGAGUCUGCAACCCGACUCCGUGAAGUUGGAUUCGCUAGUAAUCGCGCAUCAGCCAUGGCGCGGUGAAUACGUUCCCGGGCCUU
rnacentral:rRNA from 1 species